rnacentral:rRNA from 1 species
GAUUAAGUUAUUAAGGGCGCACGGUGGAUGCCUUGGCACUAGAAGCCGAUGAAGGACGUUACUAACGACGAUAUGCUUUGGGGAGCUGUAAGUAAGCUUUGAUCCAGAGAUUUCCGAAUGGGGAAACCCAGCAUGAGUUAUGUCAUGUUAUCGAUAUGUGAAUACAUAGCAUAUCAGAAGGCACACCCGGAGAACUGAAACAUCUUAGUACCCGGAGGAAGAGAAAGAAAAUUCGAUUCCCUUAGUAGCGGCGAGCGAAACGGGAAGAGCCCAAACCAACAAGCUUGCUUGUUGGGGUUGUAGGACACUCUAUACGGAGUUACAAAGGACGACAUUAGAUGAAUCAUCUGGAAAGAUGAAUCAAAGAAGGUAAUAAUCCUGUAGUCGAAAAUGUUGUCUCUCUUGAGUGGAUCCUGAGUACGACGGAGCACGUGAAAUUCCGUCGGAAUCUGGGAGGACCAUCUCCUAAGGCUAAAUACUCUCUAGUGACCGAUAGUGAACCAGUACCGUGAGGGAAAGGUGAAAAGCACCCCGGAAGGGGAGUGAAAUAGAACCUGAAACCGUGUGCUUACAAGUAGUCAGAGCCCGUUAAUGGGUGAUGGCGUGCCUUUUGUAGAAUGAACCGGCGAGUUACGAUUUGAUGCAAGGUUAAGCAGUAAAUGUGGAGCCGUAGCGAAAGCGAGUCUGAAUAGGGCGUUUAGUAUUUGGUCGUAGACCCGAAACCAGGUGAUCUACCCUUGGUCAGGUUGAAGUUCAGGUAACACUGAAUGGAGGACCGAACCGACUUACGUUGAAAAGUGAGCGGAUGAACUGAGGGUAGCGGAGAAAUUCCAAUCGAACCUGGAGAUAGCUGGUUCUCUCCGAAAUAGCUUUAGGGCUAGCCUCAAGUGAUGAUUAUUGGAGGUAGAGCACUGUUUGGACGAGGGGCCCCUCUCGGGUUACCGAAUUCAGACAAACUCCGAAUGCCAAUUAAUUUAACUUGGGAGUCAGAACAUGGGUGAUAAGGUCCGUGUUCGAAAGGGAAACAGCCCAGACCACCAGCUAAGGUCCCAAAAUAUAUGUUAAGUGGAAAAGGAUGUGGCGUUGCCCAGACAACUAGGAUGUUGGCUUAGAAGCAGCCAUCAUUUAAAGAGUGCGUAAUAGCUCACUAGUCGAGUGACACUGCGCCGAAAAUGUACCGGGGCUAAACAUAUUACCGAAGCUGUGGAUUGUCCUUUGGACAAUGGUAGGAGAGCGUUCUAAGGGCGUUGAAGCAUGAUCGUAAGGACAUGUGGAGCGCUUAGAAGUGAGAAUGCCGGUGUGAGUAGCGAAAGACGGGUGAGAAUCCCGUCCACCGAUUGACUAAGGUUUCCAGAGGAAGGCUCGUCCGCUCUGGGUUAGUCGGGUCCUAAGCUGAGGCCGACAGGCGUAGGCGAUGGAUAUCAGGUUGAUAUUCCUGUACCACCUAUAAUCGUUUUAAUCGAUGGGGGGACGCAGUAGGAUAGGCGAAGCGUGCGAUUGGAUUGCACGUCUAAGCAGUAAGGCUGAGUAUUAGGCAAAUCCGGUACUCGUUAAGGCUGAGCUGUGAUGGGGAGAAGACAUUGUGUCUUCGAGUCGUUGAUUUCACACUGCCGAGAAAAGCCUCUAGAUAGAAAAUAGGUGCCCGUACCGCAAACCGACACAGGUAGUCAAGAUGAGAAUUCUAAGGUGAGCGAGCGAACUCUCGUUAAGGAACUCGGCAAAAUGACCCCGUAACUUCGGGAGAAGGGGUGCUCUUUAGGGUUAACGCCCAGAAGAGCCGCAGUGAAUAGGCCCAAGCGACUGUUUAUCAAAAACACAGGUCUCUGCUAAACCGUAAGGUGAUGUAUAGGGGCUGACGCCUGCCCGGUGCUGGAAGGUUAAGAGGAGUGGUUAGCUUCUGCGAAGCUACGAAUCGAAGCCCCAGUAAACGGCGGCCGUAACUAUAACGGUCCUAAGGUAGCGAAAUUCCUUGUCGGGUAAGUUCCGACCCGCACGAAAGGCGUAACGAUUUGGGCACUGUCUCAACGAGAGACUCGGUGAAAUCAUAGUACCUGUGAAGAUGCAGGUUACCCGCGACAGGACGGAAAGACCCCGUGGAGCUUUACUGUAGCCUGAUAUUGAAAUUCGGCACAGCUUGUACAGGAUAGGUAGGAGCCUUUGAAACGUGAGCGCUAGCUUACGUGGAGGCGCUGGUGGGAUACUACCCUAGCUGUGUUGGCUUUCUAACCCGCACCACUCAUCGUGGUGGGAGACAGUGUCAGGCGGGCAGUUUGACUGGGGCGGUCGCCUCCUAAAAGGUAACGGAGGCGCUCAAAGGUUCCCUCAGAAUGGUUGGAAAUCAUUCAUAGAGUGUAAAGGCAUAAGGGAGCUUGACUGCGAGACCUACAAGUCGAGCAGGGUCGAAAGACGGACUUAGUGAUCCGGUGGUUCCGCAUGGAAGGGCCAUCGCUCAACGGAUAAAAGCUACCCCGGGGAUAACAGGCUUAUCUCCCCCAAGAGUUCACAUCGACGGGGAGGUUUGGCACCUCGAUGUCGGCUCAUCGCAUCCUGGGGCUGUAGUCGGUCCCAAGGGUUGGGCUGUUCGCCCAUUAAAGCGGUACGCGAGCUGGGUUCAGAACGUCGUGAGACAGUUCGGUCCCUAUCCGUCGUGGGCGUAGGAAAUUUGAGAGGAGCUGUCCUUAGUACGAGAGGACCGGGAUGGACAUACCUCUGGUGUACCAGUUGUCGUGCCAACGGCAUAGCUGGGUAGCUAUGUGUGGACGGGAUAAGUGCUGAAAGCAUCUAAGCAUGAAGCCCCCCUCAAGAUGAGAUUUCCCAACUUCGGUUAUAAGAUCCCUCAAAGAUGAUGAGGUUAAUAGGUUCGAGGUGGAAGCAUGGUGACAUGUGGAGCUGACGAAUACUAAUCGAUCGAAGACUUAAUCAA